UUCAGAGGUGCAUACUUUCAACACUACUUUAUAGUGCAGAAUGCUGGGGGAUGAGAAAGUAUGACAUGUCCAAACUGUCUACAUUCCAUACAACCUGCCUCAGAAAAAUCCUCCAUAUCUUUUGUCCCAGAACAAUUUCAAACCAAAAUCUAUUGACACUGUGCAGCCAAGAGGAUCUGAGCACCAUCAUUGCCAGGAGGCGUUGGAGAUGUAUCUGUCAUGUGCUUUGGAUGGAAACUCAUUCCAUCACCAGAGUAGCAAUAAGAUGGACACCUGAAGGCAAGCGAAAACAAGGCCGCCCAAAAACAACAUGGUGUAGAGCUGUGGAAGCCGAGCUGAAAAACCUGGGGCACAGCUGGGGAACCAUUGAAAGACUUGCCAGAAACAGACAGGAGCGGAGGAGCUUCGUCACUGCUCUAAACGCCAGAGGUGUAAUAGGAACAUUAUGAUGAAGAAGAGGAUAAAUAACAAU